GAAUAGGGUUAUCAGAACCCCACUCACGUUUUAGGCCAAAUUACCUGUACUUGGAAAGCUGGUGUGUGUCUCUUGACUCUCUGCCUCUUUCUUCCCCACGCCUUUGCCCUUCUCCUUCCACGAUCUCUUUCGCAUCGUCAUCACACCGUCGCACGAUCUCUCUCUCUCUCUCUUCUCUUCUGUUGAAGCUCGAACAUGGAGGCUUCUCAAUCUCUGCUUCAACGCAAUCGCAGCGAUCGUCGUCAGCUCCUGAGUUUCAUACUCUCAUCAGGUUUGAUAAAGGAGCUCCGGUCCCCUACUGGUGCCACCUCCUCUGUCUCUGACUCUGAUCUUGAUGCCACCUCCUCUGUCUCUGACUCUGAUCUUGAACUUCUCAGCGCCGAUUACGUCCUCCAAUGCGCACAAUCCGGAUCCGAGUCUUGUCUUUGUUCCCCUUGGAACCUCUAGAACAAAUUCAAGACAAGGCACUCUGAGAAGAAGUGACUCCAUGUGGCACACAAAUUAUUAACCUGCGGUUGCCAAAUUGUUGCUUUGAGAUGUUCUGCCUCUUGUUUACAUAAAAGUGUAGCAACUCAAGGUUUUUGUAUUUUUAGUUGCUGAGUAUGAAACUCCAAAGAACUCCCUGAAUCAGGUCAGCUUUUUAGCAUUCGGUGGCAUGCAUUGUUUCAUCAUGAGUUCAUUUCAAUAUGGCAUUGGAUAUUAUUCUUAACCUCAAGCUUCAUUUCAAAUUUCAUGAGGUUAUUAUGGAGCUGGCCAGUUUUUGUCCGAUGUCCCUUGCUGGAUAGGUGCAGUCGGAUCAUUGUCCAGAUCAUUCUUAGACUCAUUGCAUUGGGAAUUUCUAAUUUGAAUGUGGAUUACUUAAUAAGUACUAUAAUGUUUCUCGAUUCUUGAAAUUUUUUCCCUUUACUCUAUGUUUCAGAUAUUGGCAUACAUCAUGAUAAAUUUAACCUUUUGGCUUAAGAAAUUUUGCUCCUUAGCUUCUACAUAUUUACUGUGAACAUGAUAGUCAAUGUUUAAAAAAUUUGAAUGUCUUUAUUAU